AUGUUUGGGAAAAUGUACCAAUGUUGUUCUGCAAGGAAGCAAGGACCUAGGCCCGCAAUACAUGAGCCGGACGAUGAACCACCGAGGGAAGCUCAAGUGCGACCUUAUGAAUGGCCGUCAGAGGAUAUUAUGGUCCAAGCAGGCAUCAAGGAUGAAUUUGACGCAUAUGUGCGUAAUGCUGAACUCGAGGGCUUCAUGCUAGAUAAGUGCCCUCAGUAUUACCACUUAACUGAUUCCUUUGUGAGAAGGUUCAAAUUUACAUCUUCACGCAAUUCUAACACUAUCCUAUUUGACCUUUAUAAUAAAUCUUAUACCAUGGACUUAGAAGAUUUUAAUGCCGCUUGUAAACUCCCGCAAUGGGGUAGUGCUAGUGAACCUCGCAAAUCUGAAUUUAAAGCUUUUCUUGCUAGUAUCACUGUGGGAGAAUCUAGAGAAAUAGCACAAGCUACCAUAGGGAGCAUUCAUUUUCCUGCUAUACAUUAUUUUGCUCUCUUUAUAGGUAGAUGCAUAAAUGGCAAGGACGAGGCAUGUCACAUGUGUGUUCCAGAUCUUAGUGUCCUCAAGAGUGCUGUAAUCGGAGAUAAACAAUAUAACUUGGGGGCCAUUGUUGCACGUAGGCUGCAUAAUAAUAGCUUAAAUGGAGACUUAUUUGGUGGGAUUUAUGCAACCCGUGUGGCUAAUUUUGUUGAGAUACCCAUACAUGAAAAUGAUAUGGUUCGUCAUCAGUUUGUUGAGAGGAAUGAACAGUUCCUCCAGUACCGAGUAAUCUUUGACAGACGGCGUACUGUCCAUGUUGCUCUCCCAGCUCUCACUUUCUUUGACUUUCAGGCAAAAAGGAGAUAUAUUAUAACCAGGGAGGAGGCAAACGAGUAUGAGAGGAGGACGGAGGCGGCUUGCCUCCAGGCUACAACUCGUCAGGCAGUAGCUGCUACAUCUCAGUACGACCCUAGCUACAACUUUGAUCCAUGGGCAUAG
rnacentral:rRNA from 1 species